CGGCUCGUGUCGUGAGAUGUUGGGUUAAGUCCCGCAACGAGCGCAACCCCCGCCUUCAGUUGCCAACGGUUCGGCCGUGCACUCUGGAGGAACUGCCUGUGACAAGCAGGAGGAAGGUGGGGAUGACGUCAAGUCCUCAUGGCCCUUAUGGGCUGGGCUACACACGUGCUACAAUGGCGGUGACAGAGGGAUGCAAUACCGCGAGGUGGAGCAAAUCCCUAAAAGCCGUCUCAGUUCGGAUUGUUCUCUGCAACUCGAGAGCAUGAAGUUGGAAUCGCUAGUAAUCGCAGAUCAGCUCGCUGCGGUGAAUACGUUCCCGGGCCUU
rnacentral:rRNA from 1 species